AGAGUUUGAUCAUGGCUCAGAUUGAAGGCUGGCGGCAGGCCUAACACAUGCAAGUCGACGGCAGCACGGGUACUUGUACCUGGUGGCGAGCGGCGGACGGGUGAGUAAUACCUAGGAAUCUGCCUGGUAGUGGGGGAUAACGUUCGGAAACGGACGCUAAUACCGCAUACGUCCUACGGGAGAAAGCAGGGGGACUUCGGCCUUGCGCUAUCAGAUGAGCCUAGGUCGGAUUAGCUAGUUGGUGAGGUAAUGGCUCACCAAGGCUACGAUCCGUAACUGGUCUGAGAGGAUGAUCAGUCACACUGGAACUGAGACACGGUCCAGCUCCUACGGGAGGCAGCAGUGGGGAAUAUUGGACAAUGGGCGAAAGCCUGAUCCAGCAUGCCGCGUGUGUGAAGAAGGUCUUCGGAUUGUAAAGCACUUUAAGUUGGGAGGAAGGGCCGUUACCUAAUACGUGACGGCUUGACGUACCGCGUGAAUAAACGGCCAGCAGUCU
rnacentral:rRNA from 1 species